rnacentral:rRNA from 1 species
AGUCACUAACACAUGCAAGUCGAGCGGAAACGACACUAACAAUCCUUCGGGUGCGUUAAUGGGCGUCGAGCGGCGGACGGGUGAGUAAUGCCUAGGAAAUUGCCUUGAUGUGGGGGAUAACCAUUGGAAACGAUGGCUAAUACCGCAUAAUGCCUACGGGCCAAAGAGGGGGACCUUCGGGCCUCUCGCGUCAAGAUAUGCCUAGGUGGGAUUAGCUAGUUGGUGAGGUAAUGGCUCACCAAGGCGACGAUCCCUAGCUGGUCUGAGAGGAUGAUCAGCCACACUGGAACUGAGACACGGUCCAGACUCCUACGGGAGGCAGCAGUGGGGAAUAUUGCACAAUGGGCGAAAGCCUGAUGCAGCCAUGCCGCGUGUAUGAAGAAGGCCUUCGGGUUGUAAAGUACUUUCAGUUGUGAGGAAGGGGGUAGCGUUAAUAGCGUUAUCUCUUGACGUUAGCAACAGAAGAAGCACCGGCUAACUCCGUGCCAGCAGCCGCGGUAAUACGGAGGGUGCGAGCGUUAAUCGGAAUUACUGGGCGUAAAGCGCAUGCAGGUGGUUCAUUAAGUCAGAUGUGAAAGCCCGGGGCUCAACCUCGGAACUGCAUUUGAAACUGGUGAACUAGAGUACUGUAGAGGGGGGUAGAAUUUCAGGUGUAGCGGUGAAAUGCGUAGAGAUCUGAAGGAAUACCAGUGGCGAAGGCGGCCCCCUGGACAGAUAC